rnacentral:rRNA from 1 species
UACGUAGGGGGCAAGCGUUGUCCGGAAUCAUUGGGCGUAAAGCGCGCGUAGGCGGCCCGAUAAGUCUGCUGUGAAAGUCCAGGGCUCAACCCUGGAAUGCCGGUGGAUACUGUCGGGCUAGAGUUCGGAAGAGGCAAGUGGAAUUCCUGGUGUAGCGGUGAAAUGCGCAGAUAUCAGGAGGAACACCAAUGGCGAAGGCAGCUCGCUGGGACGUGACUGACGCUGAGACGCGAAAGCGUGGGGAGCAAACAGG